rnacentral:rRNA from 1 species
UACAGAGGGUGCGAGCGUUGUUCGGAAUUAUUGGGCGUAAAGGGCGCGUAGGCGGUGCGGUAAGUCACCUGUGAAAUCUCCUGGCUCAACUGGGAGCUUGCAGGCGAAACUGCCGUGCUGGAGUGUGGGAGAGGUGCGUGGAAUUCCCGGUGUAGCGGUGAAAUGCGUAGAGAUGUGGAGGAACACCGAUGGCGAAGGCAGCCCCCUGGGCCUGUACUGACGCUCAUGCACGAAAGCGUGGGGAGCAAACAGG